UAUAAAAACUCCCUCUUGCCAGGCCCCCCUCUCUCUUGCUAUCUCUCUUGCUUUCUCUCUCUCCUGUGUGUGCUUCCUCUCUCUCUCUCUCUCUCUCUCUCUCUCUCUCUCCUUCUUUCUUUUCUCUUUGUUGCACUGCUGCAGUAAAGCUCUCUUGGUUGCUCUGAGUGUUGUGGUCACUUUUCUUUCACACACAAUGGAAUACUACUCAGCCUUAAAGAAGAAAGAAAUUAUGGCAUUUGCAGAGCCUCCAGAAGGAACCAAUCCUGCUGGCACCUUGAUCUGAGACUUCUAGCUUCCAGAAUGAUGAGAACGUAAAAUUUUAAUCAUUUUUGGCUGCCAAGUUUUUGGUGUGAAAGUUGUCAGAAUCAAAAUGGAGUCACUUGUGUCAAAUCCUAACAAGAAUAAAUAAGUAAAGCUGGGAAGUCACAAAGGAGGGGAUCUCACGUCUGAUUACAAGAAGUAGCACAGGAGAUUUGCUGACCAUGACCUUGCCUCAAGACCACAGCAACCUCACACAAGAAAUACACCUGUGAGGACCUCUGCCCAGCAGCAGCCUGCCCAACCUUGGACGAACGCCACCCUCAUUAUUGAUCCUUGUAACCAAAGAUGGUGGUUUCAAAACAAUUUAUGCAAUCCUCCUCCCUUUACCUCUAAAAAUCUUUGUCUUUAAAAACUUUUGCCUUCUGAAUACACCCAAAGUUUACUAUGGCAUGCAUAGUACACAUGUCCUGCUCUUUCUGGAAUAAACUCAUUAUUUUUGGAGAA